CCAGCUCCGCAGGCUCCUGGCGGAUCACAACAAAAUCUAAAUAUUUAAAGGAAGGAUGUCUACAGCAAUGGGGGUAGGUUUUACAAGACCAGACACUAAAAGAGUUUUCUGCCUAUCACUGAAUUGUUUUUUGUUUUUUUUUUCUGGAUGUGUAUUGUCAAAAUUUGCAAAUGAAGAUUUGCUAUUACUUUCAGACAACAACUGUGUUUGUCUGCAAUGGUUGCUUACGGUUCCCGCCCUUUCUCCAAGGAAGCCUAGCCUAGCCUCCAUUUCUCCUGUCAUACAUUCAGUCUGAACAGGGAGUCGAUGUGCAGGUGUGCAAAUGCUCCUCUCACAUUUCCAGGACAUAAGUGGUUAAAUUAGGGAUAUGCCAGGAGGGAAGUGACAAGGUUUGCACAUGCGUUCUCCCAAAAGGCUUUCCACGCACGUGAAUGGUGCACUUCUACCCAGAAGUAUCAGAAGAUGCCCAAAACAGAUUAGAUGAGGCUAAGAUGAGACCAACAGUAAUUCAGACCUCCACUGCAGAUGAAUCCUAGAUUUGGAAGAGACAUUAGGUGUUAUCUAAUCCAACCACCUGCUCGACGUAGUAUCUCCUGAAGCACUUAGGAUAGAGAGCUAUCCAGCCACUGUUUGAAGACCAGUAGUGAAGGGGAACAUGAAGCAACUUGUUCUACUGGUUGCAGUUCUCCUGUCUAGAAGGAGAAGACAUAUCCUCCUAAUACAUAACCAUAAUCUACUCCCCUUUAGUUUCAACCCAUUGGUUGUGGUCAGGGGUAGUUUCACUUACCUUUACCACCAGUUCGCUACACACACACAGUCCAUGUAUGCAUCCAGCCUUCCAUGCUUGCACUUUGCUCGCUCAUGCGCCUUCCACUCAUGCACCUGGCCUCGAAAACGUGCCUAAAUAGCACGACGUGGAGCUGAUCGCCGCUACCGGUUCACCCGAACCGGUGUGAACCGGCUGAAUACCACCUCUGGUCCCUAUUUCUCUUUCUCUACCUCUUCACCAGGCUGGCUUUGACAGCGGGGACAAAGAAAAUUACUACAACAUUCCUGGUUCCCGAACUCCUGAAAUUCUCAAUAUUAUGGAGACCACCAAUGUUGGUGAACCAGGUCGCUGGUUGUUUCAAGUGGAUAAGUCAAUUAUUGGAGUUCCCACGGCAAAAAGUGAUUGCUUGUAUAAAUAAGUGAAAACCACUUCCAACGCAAACAAUCUGCUUCUGAAUGCCAGCCUGGGACAAGUUGAACAGCAUCUGCCAACUUUCUCAUAUCCCUCUGCUACCCUCUUCAAACAAGUAAAAGUUUUCUGGCGCUGCCAUUGACCGUAGAUUUAGCAAUAAAUGAUCGCACUCACA